rnacentral:rRNA from 1 species
UAGUAACGGCGAGUGAAGCGGGAAGAGCUCAAGCUUAAAAUCUCUAUGCAAGUUUUGCAUGGCGAAUUGUAGUCUAUAGAGGCGCUGUCAGUGCAGCUAUUUGGGAUAAGUUCCUUGGAAGAGGACAGCAUCGAGGGUGAUACUCCCGUUUGUGCCUGAGUAGCUUGUGCGUACGACACGUUUUCUUUGAGUCGCGUUGUUUGGGACUGCAGCGCAAAGUAGGUGGUAAAUUCCAUCUAAAGCUAAAUAUUGGUGCGAGACCGAUAGCGAACAAGUACCGUGAGGGAAAGAUGAAAAGAACUUUGAAAAGAGAGUUAAAGAGUACCUGAAACUGCUGAAAGGGAAGCGAAUCGUAUCCAGUGUCUAUAAUCUGUAGCAUAUUUCAUUGGCGAGUAGGUGCGUGCAGUAUGUAAGAAGUGGUUUUCUGCUCUUUGUGCUGUUCUGCGUUUGCUUGUUGGUGCCCUGUGUUGCGGUGGGACGUCAGAGUCAGUUCGUAUGCUGUGAGAAAUGGCUACUGAGGAGGUAGGUUAGGAGCUUGCUCUUGGCUGUUAUAUCUUGGUAGUUAGUUGUCGUGGUUGGGACUGAGGUGCCUACAAUGUGCUUUAAAGUGUUUGGGACUCUCGUUUGGUUACCUGUUUGGAUAGCUUGCUAUGCUGACGGAGUGAUUGGUCGAUUGAGAUCUAGAGUAACUUUUGCCGUUC